UGCCAGCCGCCGCGGUAAGACGGAGGGUGCAAGCGUUGUUCGGAAUCACUGGGCAUAAAGCGCACGUAGGCGGCUUCGCCAGUCUGAUGUGAAAGCCCUCGGCUCAACCGGGGAACAGCAUUGGAUACUGCGAGGCUUGAGGACGGUUGGGGUGAGUGGAACUCCUGGUGGAGCGGUGAAAUGCGUAGAUAUCAGGAGGAACACCGGUGGCGAAAGCGGCUCACUGGACCGUCUCUGACGCCGAGGUGCGAAAGCUAGGGGAGCGAACGGGAUUAGAUA
rnacentral:rRNA from 1 species